GACGAACGCUGGCGGCGUGCUUAACACAUGCAAGUCGAACGAAGUGGCGAACGGGUGAGUAACGCGUAAUCAACCUGCCCUUCAGAGGGGGACAACAGUUGGAAACGACUGCUAAUACCGCAUACUGAAGGUGGGGAUUGCGUCGGAUUAGCUAGUUGGAGGGGUAACGGCCCACCAAGGCGAAGAUCAGUAGCCGGGCUGGAAGGAUGAACGGCCACAAUGGGACUGGGGAACGGCCCCGACUCCUACGGGAGGCAACAGUGGGGGAAUUUCCGCAAAGGGCGGAAGGCUGACGGAGCAACGCCGGGUGAGUGAUGAAGGCCUUCGGGUUGGAAAGCUCUUUUAAUCGGGACGCGGUACCGGAAUAGAAAGCCACGGCUAACUACGUGCCAGCAGCCGCGGUAAUUC
rnacentral:rRNA from 1 species